UACGUAGGGUGCAAGCGUUGUCCGGAAUUAUUGGGCGUAAAGAGCGUGUAGGCGGCCCGGUUAGUCCGCUGUGAAAGUCCAGGGCUCAACCCUGGAAUGCCGGUGGAUACUGUCGGGCUAGAGUCCGGAAGGGGCGAGUGGAAUUCCUGGUGUAGCGGUGAAAUGCGCAGAUAUCAGGAGGAACACCAAUUGCGAAGGCAGCUCGCUGGAACGUAACUGACGCUGAGACGCGAAAGCGUGGGGAGCAAACAGG
rnacentral:rRNA from 1 species